ACCCCGUUGUCAAUAAACACACGUGGAGACGGUGCUUCAGACACUGCAUUAAUACCGAAAGCUAAAUUGUGCACUGUCCACUGCAGCAUGUCAAUGCAAUGAAAAUAAUCAAAUUUGAGCCAACCUGCUGUUAAAAUGGUGUCCAGGUUAAUGUUUUAGCCAUUAAAGGCCCUUCAUUUCAAGAUUUCAACUGUGAUCGGGCUUUAAACAGGUGGCUGACCUGUUCAGAUGGGUAUAACUGCUACUGGUCAAAUAAUGUGAAAUAGCAUUUAAUUUUACAUGUAUGCAAUGCCAUUUAAAUGUAAUUAUAGAUGAUGAUGAUAAUAAUAAUAAUAAUAAUAAUAAUAAAUACUGUGUGGUGUAAAUAGUCAACGGGAAGGAUUUUAGUAAGAUAUAAGCCAUAAGCACUACACAGCCAGAAAAAAACCUAGGCAGGACAAGUAAAAAUAUUGAUGAAAGUACAGACGUAUCCACAGCCAGGCAGUUCGAUGUGCCUGUCCGGUAUGGAUAUAGAAUUUCAUCAAAAUCUUACAUAUCCUGGGUCAUAUAUGUGAAUACUUGCUACUUAGCUUUCUCUCAGAUACCUGGAUAAGGAGGGGCAUGUUUUCAACUUGUUCCUGGACCUGGUUGAACUUGCUGAUGACAAAGCACACACUAUUGUGACAGCCAUAAAGACUGCAAUCUGUAAGAAAGGCCUGCCAACAGAAAUACUUUAUGGAGUGGGGAAUGAUGGAGCAGCUGUUAUAACAGUUAUUAUUAUACAUAUCAUGUAAAAUUGUUUGUUAUAACCUUUUUGUGACUGAUUAAUUUUAUAUUAAAAAACUUUUUUUUUAAAUUCAGGGCGUGUGAAGCAACUUACUGACAGCUAUUCAAAGAUCGUGGGUGUGGCUUGUGCUGCCCAUAGAUUAGCCCUUGCCUGCAAGGACUCAUCCAACCUUCAGAGAUCACUUGCAAGAUCACCACUUAUUCUUCCGCAACAGUGCAAAUCGCACUGCAAUGCUCAAGGCAGCAUCCAUCACCCUUGGUGUUAGUGACUUAAAAAUUAAGGAAGUAAAAGACACACGUUGGCUGCCUCAGCACAAGGCAAUUGAGAACUUGCAGAGAAACCUGCCAGCAGCCCUGGCAGAGGAGGCAGAAAUGCGUAGAUGUCUGGUGGCAAAGGGUCUCUACACUUUUUGUGCCACCUACAGAUUUGUGGCUGCUGUUUACCUGCAAGCGGAUUGUUUGCCCCACCUUGCAAGUCUCUCCAGAGUAUUUCAGAAAGCAGACGUCAACUUCCUUCGUAUAAAGGAGAUGGUCUCUGUCACCAUUAAUACUCUGGGGAACAUCAGAGAAGCUGGACAGACUCCACUCCCGGGAUCAUUUCUGUCUCGCCUCCACAAGGACCUGGAUAAUUCCCAAGGUCAUCCACCCUUACCUAAGUGGCCUGGAAAAAAACCUUCACCCUCGGUUCCAUGACCUGGACAUACUUGGGGCUUUCGGUGUCUUUGGACCUAAAUCGGCUGCUCUGCAAGAUGACUCUGCUAACAUCGACAAUCUGAGGAUUCUUGCCAGAAAAUUCUGCCCUGAGCAACAGAAUGAGGUCCUGCAGGAGUGGACUUCAUUUAAGAACCAUGUCGUUACUGGGGCAUUCAAGAUGGGACAAGAUCCAGGCUGACAUCCUUACUCUGCUGGCAAGUGAGUUCGACGAAUGGGAUAAUGUCUACCCUUGCCUCAGCAUCCUUGCAGGCAUUGCCUUGGUGAUCCCCGUUUCAAGUGUUAAUUGUGAACGGGAUUUUUCUACUCUGAAUAGGGUGAAAACAGACCUGAGGAAUCAGCUGCAAGGAGAACACCUGGCUGCCUGCCUGAGAAUCUCCACCAACGGACCUGACCACAAAGACUUUCCUUACGAUAAGGCCUUACACUAUUUUUUUCGGAAGCCCCAAAAAAUUCAUUGCCCUUACAUAGGGUGCAAAGUCUGCAGGCAGUAGAAAACACAUGGUUAAGUGUAGGGAGUAAAACUGAUGGCAGUCUAAAAUUCAAGAUUUUUGGAGUGGGCUUUAAGAGACAUUUUAGCUUUUAUAUUUUAUAAUACUAUAUAUUUUUUGUAAGAACCACAAUUAAUAAAUAUAUUUCAGUGAAUAACUAAUUGUUCAAAUCUGUAUAUGAAUAUGUCCAU